UGAUCAACACUGACUAACUAGUAUCUUUCUAUAGAAAUAUUAAUUCUUGAGUUCUACUGUGCUCUACGUGUCGCCUCCUCAGCAUCCCCCCUCUACCGUUCCCUCUCGCGCCCCUUCGAAGCCUCCCCGCGUUUGGCGGGGGGGGGCUUCGGUGGCCCCUGCAGCGGGCGGUGGCAGCGGCGUGCACGGGUGCGAGUUGCGCUCACGUGGUCGCACGGCUACGUGUCGCCCUACCCGCGUCUCCUGAACGCUGUCUCCCGAAUCCCUCCUCUCCCGAUCCCUCUCUCCCGAUCCUUCUCUCGUGAAGGCUAACCUUCGCAGAUGCCGUAGGAUGCGGGGAGUUGUCACUCCACCCGUAAACCCCGGGCCUUUGUCGCCGUGCUACGAAUAUUUUCCUUGCUGUUUCUUUCUUCUUUGAGGCGAUGAUGAUAGCUCUUCUUUGAGGCGAUGAUGAUAAGUUGAGGGAAGUGCGUAAAAUAUUUGCUUCGAACAAGUUGAGGUUUGGACGGCCUGCUCAUAGGCAACCACUUCAUAUUGUCUUAGCCUUGGUGGUUGCGCACAUUUCCCUCUGACGGUAAUUUAUUGCUCGGCAACCGCAAAGUGUGGAAUAUGUUUACUUCGAACGAGUGGAAGUUUGGAUGGCCUACUCAUGGGCAACCGCUUCAUAUUGUCUUACCCUUGCUCGGGAGCCGCUUCUUACCAUCCUUAUCCUUGGCGGUUGCGCACAUUUCCCUCCUACGGUAAUCUAUUGCUCCUACUACUACCCUAUACUUAUGACCAAUCUUGCCGAGUACUUAUGAGCAAUGUUGCCGAUUCGACUUAACUGAGCCUUACCUUUUUGUCUCCUUUUUGGGCGAUUCUUUAAAUUGGUUUUACAACAGAAUUUAUGCAACUGUUUGGAUUCUUCCCUGCUUAUUGACAUUUUAAAUACUUUUUUUCGUUUGGCUAUCGGCAUUUGAAUUGAAUUCUUCCUCGGACUUUUUUUGCAUGCAUAUUCUUUUGACGAUUCUUUGGAUUAUGUUUUUUUAUUCAUUUAUCAUUGUCUAUUAUGGUAUUUUCAUUGAGCAUAAUAGAACCAUCUAAUUUAUUUCCUGCUUUUUUGAAGAAUAUUUUCCCUGCCGUCACUUUCUAUUUUCUGGUUCUUCUAUGAGGCACUAAUGAUAAGCUGAGGAAAGUACAGAAAAUAUUUACUUCGGACAAUGAUUUCCCAAAGAACUCUCUGUUGUCGUUUCCGUUUACACUAUCUGCUACACUUUCUUGCUAUUAUGAUGAUUAAUAGGUAGUUUUAUGCAUUUAUUAUUGCUUUUUUGCAUUCUAAAAUGUAAGGCCUUGAUAUUGACAAUACAAACUUCAACUGCAGAUUAUUUUGUUUGGGGUGUGCAUAUAGGUUAUAACUCAGAUAGCAUUAUUAAUCAAGAAGGCUUCCGUGCCAAUGUAAUAAUCUUUGAUGGUCGGGCGGAGUCUGAGCAUAUUAUAUUUGUUUAUUUCCAUCCUCAUUCAUGUAUACUAUUUGGUGUGAUUUUCACAAGCUGAUUUAAUAUAGAGCUUUACAUCUUUCUUUCAUGCAUUUGUUUUAUAAUCCGGUUGGGGAUUUGGGUGCUCUACUCAUUACUUGCUUUGGUUCAGCAUGCACCUGUGGAGGUUAAAAAAACAUGUGUUCUCAGUUGGAUUGGUCUUUUUUUGUGUAGCCGAAUCUGCUGAACAUGUAUAUUAUUUAUAGAUUUGUUUUUCCUUUUUAAA